rnacentral:rRNA from 1 species
AGUGAACGCUGGCGGUAGACCUAACACAUGCAAGUCGAACGGCAGCACAGUAAGAGCUUGCUCUUACGGGUGGCGAGUGGCGGACGGGUGAGGAAUACAUCGGAAUCUACUUUUUCGUGGGGGAUAACGUAGGGAAACUUACGCUAAUACCGCAUACGACCUACGGGUGAAAGCAGGGGAUCUUCGGACCUUGCGCGAUUGAAUGAGCCGAUGUCGGAUUAGCUAGUUGGCGGGGUAAAGGCCCACCAAGGCGACGAUCCGUAGCUGGUCUGAGAGGAUGAUCAGCCACACUGGAGCUGAGACACGGUCCAGACUCCUGCGGGAGGCAGCAGUGGGGAAUAUUGGACAAUGGGCGCAAGCCUGAUCCAGCCAUACCGCGUGGGUGAAGAAGGCCUUCGGGUUGUAAAGCCCUUUUGUUGGGAAAGAAAAGCAGCAGGUUAAUACCCCGCUGUUCUGACGGUACCCAAAGAAUAAGCACCGGCUAACUUCGUG